GUCUACAGCCAUGCCGCCCUGAACAAGCCCGAUGUCCGAUCUCAGAAGCUAAGUAGGGUCAGACCUGGUUAGUAUUUGGAUGGGAGACCACCUAGGAAGACCAGGUGCUGUAGACA
rnacentral:rRNA from 1 species